rnacentral:rRNA from 1 species
GACGAACGCUGGCGGCGUGCUUAACACAUGCAAGUCGAGCGGUAAGGCCUUUCGGGGUACACGAGCGGCGAACGGGUGAGUAACACGUGGGUGAUCUGCCCUGCACUUCGGGAUAAGCCUGGGAAACUGGGUCUAAUACCGGAUAUGACCUCCUAUCGCAUGGUGGGUGGUGGAAAGAUUUAUCGGUGCAGGAUGGGCCCGCGGCCUAUCAGCUUGUUGGUGGGGUAAUGGCCUACCAAGGCGACGACGGGUAGCCGACCUGAGAGGGUGACCGGCCACACUGGGACUGAGACACGGCCCAGACUCCUACGGGAAGCAGCAGUGGGGAAUAUUGCACAAUGGGCGAAAGCCUGAUGCAGCGACGCCGCGUGAGGGAUGACGGCCUUCGGGUUGUAAACCUCUUUCAGCAGGGACGAAGCGCAAGUGACGGUACCUGCAGAAGAAGCACCGGCUAACUACGUG